UACAGAGGGUGCGAGCGUUGUCCGGAAUCACUGGGCGUAAAGGGCGCGUAGGCGGCCCGGCAAGUCAAUGGUGAAAGCUCAGGCUCAACUCUGAGUCGGCCACUGAUACUGCGGGGCUCGAGUCUGGUAGGAGGCAGAUGGAAUUCCGGGUGUAGCGGUGGAAUGCGUAGAGAUCGGAAGAACACCGGUGGCGAAGGCGGUCUGCUGGGCCAGUACUGACGCUGAGGCGCGACAGCGUGGGGAGCAAACAGG
rnacentral:rRNA from 1 species